CAACGCACUGUCUUAAGAUCAGGCACUAAAUCUGAGUGUCGAGCUCUUGCUACUGCUACAUGUGAACUCAUUUGGCUACAAAAUUUACUUGGAAAACUUAACAUUAGACCACCCGAAGCCCCAAUCUUAUACGAUGAUAAUUUGGGAGCUACUUAUCUAGCUGUUAAUCUAGUUUUUCAUUCUCAGGCGAAACACAUUGAUCUUGAUUAUCAUUUUGUGUGUGAACGAGUUGCUGCGAAGUCUCUCAGAAUUGCCAUUGUUUCUUCUCAUGAUCAACUUGCAGAUAUCUUCACUAAACCCUUGGUAGCUGAUCGUUUCAAGUGGUUAAGAUCAAGUCUAAAUGUUCAUUCUUCAUACUUGGACUCGAGAGGGCAUGUUAGCACCUACAUGACAUUAUACAAUAAGCCCAACAAAGACCCAAAAUACAGAAGCCCAGUUCCGCACACGUUUCCAGCUAGCCCUAAUGUCUAGAUCCUUCUCUUCUUUUAACACGUGGUCAUUUAUUUCUCUUUCCUUGUUCUCUGAUUCACGUAUAUAUAAAGAGGAAGAAAUCACUCUAUAUCACAGAGAAAAUACUAUAAUAUACAAUGAGUACUGUUAUUUACUGUUUUGUUCUUUGCUUUUCCGUUUGAGCUCUAAAAAUUUCCCAUCAGUUUGUUCCCUUCCGCCUACUGUAUAACCAAGGUUUCCAAAGGCUCUUCCACACACAGUCCACUGCACGUCUCCUCUAUCACUAAAUCUUCUUCCUCUUCUCUCUAACUUGACAUGGCCUUGGCUACGAUGGGCUUGAUGAGGUUGCCCCUUCUAUGAACACUUGGAAGGUUGUUGUGGAGGUUGAAAAGGUCUUCACAAGGAUUGGGUUAAUGAACUCGAUUACCCCAAAAGUUUGGUCUCUGUGGAUAUGACGAGCAGGCUUGCUAAUAGCACUCAUCAUCUCCGUGUUCACUUUGCCAGAUGUUAUUUUCAUGACUUUGAUUUCAGUUUUGCAAUAUCUUCUUUGAAGGGAAGGUAUAAUCGGUCUAGUACUUCAGCGUUGGUGUAGGAGGUGACGGAAUCCAUUCAAAGCAAUGAAAGCACCACAUUAUCUUUCUGCAUAGCACGUUGGUUCAGGAACGUAGCUUCCUGUUCCCUCCCCACUGUUUCAAGCAUGGAAGAACUACAACCCUUUGAAAAGGAUGCACAAGCUUGUGACUUUUGUGAAUUAUGCGGUUAUCAAGAAGAAGCAGGAUAGUUUCUCUUUUCAUCAUCAUGUCAGUGCCACGGACACAUUCACUGAGAUAAUGGCUGUAAGGAUGGCGCUUCUUUCGGAUGGGAGUGCGUUAUGACUUUCAGUGUUAUAGUAUUGUCAUUAUCUUCGGGACCAGUUUUGGAUGAAUACUCUAAAUUCAUUAGAUUUGAUCAUCCACAUCUUAUUUAGAUGAUCGAAA